CUCAGUUGUAGGCAACCACCUAGGUUGCCUUGUACCUAGGCAAGUAUUACAUAGCUGGGAGAAAAGCAGCAAACAGCUGGCAAGCAUCCUGGGCCUGGUUAAUGCUAAAUU
ensembl:snoRNA SNORA74 Small nucleolar RNA SNORA74